ACGAACGCUGGCGGCGUGCUUCACACAUGCCAGUCGAACGGAAAGGCCCUGCUUGCAGGGUACUCGAGUGGCGAACGGGUGAGUAACACGUGGGUGAUCUGCCCUGCACUUCGGGAUAAGCCUGGGAAACUGGGUCUAAUACCGGAUAGGAGCCAUUUUUAGUGUGAUGGUUGGAAAGUUUUUUCGGUGUAGGAUGAGCUCGCGGCCUAUCAGCUUGUUGGUGGGGUAAUGGCCUACCAAGGCGGCGACGGGUAGCCGGCCUGAGAGGGUGGACGGCCACAUUGGGACUGAGAUACGGCCCAGACUCCUACGGGAGGCAGCAGUGGGGAAUAUUGCACAAUGGGCGCAAGCCUGAUGCAGCGACGCCGCGUGGGGGAUGACGGCCUUCGGGUUGUAAACUCCUUUCGCUAGGGACGAAGCUUUUUGUGACGGUACCUAGAUAAGAAGCACCGGCUAACUACGUG
rnacentral:rRNA from 1 species